UGCGGAGGGAUCAUUACCGAGUUUACAACUCCCAAACCCCUGUGAACAUACCAAUUGUUGCCUCGGCGGAUCAGCCCGCUCCCGGUAAAACGGGACGGCCCGCCAGAGGACCCCUAAACUCUGUUUCUAUAUGUAACUUCUGAGUAAAACCAUAAAUAAAUCAAAACUUUCAACAACGGAUCUCUUGGUUCUGGCAUCGAUGAAGAACGCAGCAAAAUGCGAUAAGUAAUGUGAAUUGCAGAAUUCAGUGAAUCAUCGAAUCUUUGAACGCACAUUGCGCCCGCCAGUAUUCUGGCGGGCAUGCCUGUUCGAGCGUCAUUUCAACCCUCAAGCCCAGCUUGGUGUUGGGACUCGCGAGUCAAAUCGCGUUCCCCAAAUUGAUUGGCGGUCACGUCGAGCUUCCAUAGCGUAGUAGUAAAACCCUCGUUACUGGUAAUCGUCGCGGCCACGCCGUUAAACCCCAACUUCUGAAUGUGACC
rnacentral:rRNA from 1 species